UACGGGGGGGGUAAGCGUUGUUCGGAAUUACUGGGCGUAAAGGGCUCGUAGGCGGCCAACUAAGUCAGACGUGAAAUCCCAAGGCUCAACCUUGGAACUGCCUUUGAUACUGGAGAUCUUGAGUCCGGGAGAGGUGAGUGGAACUGCGAGUGUAGAGGUGAAAUUCGUAGAUAUUCGCAAGAACACCAGUGGCGAAGGCGGCUCACUGGCCCGGUACUGACGCCUGAGGUGCGAAAGCGUGGGGAGCAAACAGG
rnacentral:rRNA from 1 species